UACGGAAUGUGCAAACGUUAUUCGGAAUCACUGGGCUUAAAGAGUCCGUAGGCGGCAUGUUAGGUGAGGUGUGAAAUCCCCCAGCUCAACCGAGGAAUUGCGCUUCAAACCGGCGUGCUUGAGGAAGAUAGAGGUGGGCGGAACUGAUGGUGGAGCGGUGAAAUGCGUUGAUAUCAUCAGGAACACCGGAGGCGAAGGCGGCCCACUGGGUCUUGUCUGACGCUGAGGGACGAAAGCUAGGGGAGCGAACGGG
rnacentral:rRNA from 1 species